rnacentral:misc_RNA from 1 species
GAUGAAGAACGUAGCGAAAUGCGAUAAGUAAUGUGAAUUGCAGAAUUCAGUGAAUCAUCGAAUCUUUGAACGCACAUUGCGCCCGCCAGUAUUCUGGCGGGCAUGCCUGUUCGAGCGUCAUUUCAACCAUCAAGCCCCCGGCUUGUGUUGGGGACCUGUGGCUGCCGCAGGCCCUGAAAAGCAGUGGCGGGCUCGCUGUCACACCGAGCGUAGUAGCAUACAUCUCGCUCUGGGCGUGCUGCGGGUUCCGGCCGUUAAACCACCUUCAUAACCCAAGGUUGACCUCGGAUCAGGUAGGAAGACCCGCUGAACUUAAGCAUAUCAAUAAGCGGAGGA